AUACUUAGGGUGCAAGCGUUGCUCGGAAUUACUGGGCGUAAAGGGCGCGUAGGCGGAUUAUCAAGUCAGAGGUGAAAGCCCUGGGCUCAACCCAGGAACUGCGUUUAAUACUGAUAAACUAGAGACCGGGAGAGGGUGGCGGAAUUCCCAGUGUAGAGGUGAAAUUCGUAGAUAUUGGGAGGAACACCGGUGGCGAAGGCGGCCACCUGGACGGUGGCUGACGCUGAGACGCGAAAGCGUGGGGAGCAAACAGGAUUAGAUACCCCAGUAGUCC
rnacentral:rRNA from 1 species